rnacentral:snoRNA from 1 species
GCAGAUGAUGACAAAUGGGUCUUCUGAUUUGGUGAUGAUCCGUUGGAGCACUGAUG